rnacentral:tRNA from 1 species
GGAGAGAUGACUGAGUGAUAUAGUUCGAAACAAAGAACUAUUGAGGGUUCGAAUCCUUCUUUCCCCU